CCUACGGGAGGCAGCAGUGGGGAAUAUUGCACAAUGGGGGAAACCCUGAUGCAGCGACGCCGCGUGAGUGAAGAAGUAAUUCGUUAUGUAAAGCUCUAUCAGCAGGGAAGAAAAUGACGGUAGCUGAGUAAGAAGCCCCGGCUAACUACGUGCCAGCAGCCGCGGUAAUACGUAGGGGGCAAGCGUUAUCCGGAUUUACUGGGUGUAAAGGGAGCGUAGACGGCAGUGCAAGUCUGGAGUGAAAGGGGGGGGCUCAACCCCCGGACUGCUAUGGAAACUGUACGGCUGGAGUGCAGGAGAGGUAAGUGGAAUUCCUAGUGUAGCGGUGAAAUGCGUAGAUAUUAGGAGGAACACCAGUGGCGAAGGCGGCUUACUGGACUGUAACUGACGUUGAGGCUCGAAAGCGUGGGGAGCAAACAGGAGUAGAUACCCCAGUAGUC
rnacentral:rRNA from 1 species